GCAGCCUCCCCACAGUAGGGCACUGUUCCAGCACCUACAUCCCCAAAAAACAACAUUUCAGCACUUGUAAAAUUGAAAUAUCCGAGAAAAUAUGGUGCCCAUUUUUCAUUCAACCAUUUUCCAAGAGUGUCCACAUAGUUCUAAGAAGAGCUCCUCCAAAAAAAACACGUUCCAAGACCAGACUCCCCGCGGUAGAGUGUGACGACUACAGUUGUAAGAGUGGGGUCCACCAAAACGUGAGAGUGGGCUCCACCAAAAGAAACCCUCGGGUGCCCAAUGUCUACUACAAUUUUGAGCCCCU
rnacentral:lncRNA from 1 species